CGGCGGACGGGUGAGUAACACGUGGAUAACCUACCUAUAAGACUGGAUAACUUCGGGAAACCGGAGCUAAUACCGGAUAAUAUAUUGAACCGCACGGUUCAAUAGUGAAAGACGGUUUUGCUGUCACUUAUAGAUGGAUCCGCGCCGCAUUAGCUAGUUGGUAAGGUAACGGCUUACCAAGGCAACGAUGCGUAGCCGACCUGAGAGGGUGAUCGGCCACACUGGAACUGAGACACGGUCCAGACUCCUACGGGAGGCAGCAGCU
rnacentral:rRNA from 1 species